CAGCCAAUCAGGUGUGCGAAAUGUUGCGAAGGCUCGCGCGAACAUACGUCACAUCCUCUUUCACGCCAACCUCACCAAGAUGGCACCGAAAAGGCAGACUGUUGUGAGAAAGAAUAAAAAGGGUGCUUGCUGGAAGUUCACCCUGGACUGCACUCACCCUGUGGAGGAUGGGAUUCUCGAUUCUGCAAACUUUGGUUCCCUUCCCUAGUUGAAUGCCUAGGGUUCUCUUCCCUAGUGGUCAUGCUGUUUUAUCACUAACAGGAAACCUUUCUGAAAGAGAAGGUGAAGGUUAAUGGCAAAACAGGCAACCUGGGCAAUGUAGUGCAAAUUGUGCGUCAGAAGAACAAGAUCAACGUCACGUCAGAGAAGCAGUUCUCUAAAAGGUAUCUGAAGUACCUCACAAAGAAGUACUUGAAGAAGAAUAACCUGCGAGACUGGCUGAGGGUUGUAGCAUCUGAUAAGGAAAGCUAUGAGCUGCGCUACUUCCAGAUAAGUCAAGAUGAUGAAGAGUCUGAUGCUGAUGAAUGAGCACUACUGAAUAUGCCUGAUGGGUGUAUCUGCGUCUUGUGUAAACUGCUCCAGCUUCAAAUGCAAGACUGUGUUUUUGUUGACUGUUUAGAAAUAAAAGGAUACACACAAAAA